rnacentral:lncRNA from 1 species
AGUUGUGUGGUGGAAAACCGGGCAGGAGUUAUCCAAAUCCCACCGUGUCAUUAGCCAGGCUGGGGAUGGGGAGGGUAGAGUGAGAUUCUCACGGGCUGCUGAUAUUUCUAGACUGCCAGGAAGUCCCGGGAAGUCUAUGGACAUGAGAGUUUCUUAACUCCAGCUCUACCCCCAACUCCACUUCUCCGUUGGGAUUGGGAGAAAGGGACAGACCCUUUUCAUCCCUCCUCCCAAGAGUGCCUUCCUUCUCCAGCAUGGUGAGCUGCGGGGCUCGAGUGUGUCUGGGCUGUGCCUGGGAGAGCCCGGCCAGCCAGAGUCAGGCCGCCUGAGCUCCAGCCUGGGGCCGGUGCCACCGCUCCAUGCACUGCAGAAGCCCCAGCAGCUGCUGCGGGAGCCGCCAACAUGAGCUGCAGAGAGAGGACCGACAGCAGCUGCGGCUGCAAUGGACAUGAGGAGAACAGGAUCCUGAAGUGCGUGGUGGUCGGGGACGGCGCGGUGGGGAAGACCUGCUUGCUGAUGAGCUACGCCAACGACGCCUUCCCAGAGGAAUACGUGCCCACUGUGUUUGACCACUACGCAGGUAGGAAAGCGUGGGGACCAACUCCGUCUAGAUGAGCGGUGGGGUUCUGGGCACAGCUACCUAGCGUUCAGAGGGACCUGGCUUUCGCCAGAAAGUCACAGACUGAUGUGGAUCUGGCAGGUACCAGGUAACUCCAUCAAGAAUGGUGCUAGGAUCCUGCGGAGACCCUGUACAUCCAUUCACAUGCUUCUCCUAUUGAAACAAAUGUGCAAUCCUGGGGAAAUAUCCUCCAGAAAUGUUUCUCAACAUUUUUGCCUAAACUUUCUUCAACUUUUCACGGUAAUUAUUUUUUUUUGAAGUGUAGUGUAUUGCAAAAUAUUCCAUUUUAAAAAAAUCACCGCUAGACACAUGGAAAGUGUUCUACUCUCUAAACUUUUUCUACUCCAUGCUAGUCAUGAUCAAACGGCUAAUAGAACCAGCUAAUAAAACCUUCUUUUUUUUUUUUCCUGGAUUACUUGGGGCUUAAAUUUUGUACUUUCACUCUUCUGGGAUGGUAGAUAAGGAGAAAAGUGUCCCACGCUUUUAAAUACUAAGUGGAAAAUUAAGUAAAAGAUGGCUAUGUUUUUUAAAGUAAAAAAUUCAAAUGCAAUUAAAUCGUUUUCAACUAUGUCCUGAAAAGACAAAUUUGAGUAUCUAGUAUUUUAAACCGUGAUCACCCCGAUGCUGUAGUCACAACUUAAUCCUUUCAGGGGAGUUUUAGUGUUUGAGGGUUUGAAGGUUUGUGGUGAUGUCAGUCAGCAUCAUGCCUUGUUUCUUGACAUAGCUGCCACCCCUAAGCUUCCCCUAUGUGAACUGACCCGUUGCCUUGGACUUACUGUGGCCUCAGUUUUAUAGUGCUUUUGAACACUUCGAUCGAUUGCCCUUGAGUUAUCAGAGCUCUGGGGUCUGGUGGAAGGGAAAUGUCUCUCUCUUCACCUUGGCUUGGGAUCAGGAUCAGCCUAAAGGAAGCCCUCACAGGAAGUCAGCCUGGAGCUCUGCUGUGUGGCCAUUUGAAAUCCUCCCUCCAUAGGAAGCAGACGCUUGUCAUCCUCUCUGGAGGGCUCCCCCCACCCCCAUCUUCCCUUCCUUUUAAGUGGACCUAUUUGCAGCAGUGGUACACAGCUGACAGGGGAGGGAUUCGCAGCUGGCAAGGGCGUCCAUUUCCUAUUAGGUCUUUCACUCUGUAGAAAUUACCUAGAAAUUUGAAGACCAAAUUCCUGAGCUUUUCUGAAAACAUAGUGAGUUUGGCCAAGGAAGAACUUUUUAAUGAGAACACAAAAAGACAAAAAGAGGUUUAUCUUGAGGGGGAAAAAUGUUGUAAAGUGCUUUGAGGAAGGGACUCUAAUUCCGGUCCUGAAAAACAUCAUAGCAGAAAUUAUUUCUCCUGUGUCUUCUUCAUGCUUGACAGGAAGGUGGCAAGUACUUUAUUUCAGGAACUUUCUGAUCAAAGACAGAACCGAAAAUCUACUAAAAGGAAAGGCUCUUAGUGCCUGGGAAAUUAUGUCUCCAGAUACCCGUCCUUCGGGUGAGCCAAUCGAAGUGGUGUUGGGAAGAAAGACAAAACCAUCUUUGGAAAUAAAGCUAGCCUAUGAUGGAAAAAAACAUUAGAGGUCAAACCAGCUGGACUUUGCUGGCACUGGGUUACUUUAUGUUUCAAUUAUAUGCACACUGGCUGGUGGUUGAGCACCAAAACCUCUCAAAGAAGUUUUAAUACUUGAGUUUUUCAGGAACUAAACUGUAUAAUUUCAGCUUCCAAGAACUCACAGCCCCGAAACUCAGAGCAGUACUUUGUACACAGUAGACAUUCCUGAACAUGGUGACUUCCGUUUAUUCUAUAUACUUCUUUCAUACAUGAUAUCUCACGUGCUAUCCAUGUGGUUAAAGCAGGGAAAGGCGUGAGCCACGCUCACACGAGAGACUCUUGAGUGCUGAUUUCUAUCCCAAGGACCCAGCCCUGCUCAUACUUGCUCUGGCCGAGCAUCAGCCCGUGGGCGGCCAUCAGGGAGCAGAUCAGUUCUAAAAUAACCAAACGCCCCCUUUCGCAUCUGGAUCCAGUUUUCAGUUCCCUGGGUCCUACUGACCCACUCUGAUAGAACAACAGGAAACACAUCUGCCGUGUCUUUUGAAAAAAAAAAAACUGCAGUUGAAAUCAAAGACAGCCUGUCUCUUAAAGAUAGUUCACGAAUGAUGGUCCACGCCAGGAAAGUAUGUAAUGUAGUAGGACUGAGUACAACAAUACCACAUGACCUGGCUCUAAUACUGCCUUCUCUGUCACUUACUCUGUGGCCUUGAGAAAGUUACUGAACCUCUUUGUGCCUCAGUUCUGAAAGGUAAAACCAGGGACCGUAAAGAUAUUGGAAUUGUUUUUAAAAGUGAAAUGAAUUCAUUCAUAUGUGUAAAGUUCUAGACCCCCAACACACAAUGUUAGAUGUGGGGGGGGCACAUAUCACAUCAAAGUCUAUACAAAUAAUACAUACAGUGAUUAAAUCAAAUUAAAAUGUUACU